CACCUGCCUCUUCCCAGAGAGACUCCAUUCCCCCAGGACCUGACCAGACACAGGCAUCAGAACACCAGACACGGGUAUCAGAACACCAGACACGGACUCCCAGCCCCAUUCAUCAGCAGCUGGAUAAUGACCUGGAUGAUGACCUGGUUGAGCCUCCACCUGACUUUGUGCCUCCUUCGCCACCAGGACGGCGUUCCAAAUCCAACCUCUAAAUCCAUCUCCAAUACCAGCCAUAAGGGGGAAUAAGCCAUCAUGACAGUGCACAUCAGAGCGACUGCCAACUGCAGUGCUGCUGCCCCCUGCUGGUGAAAGUGGUUUCCACAGAUCUACAUGGCUUCGUAUCUAGAGGAGAGAAACGACAUAUGACUUCACAGUGCUGCCCCUGUGGAUAAAACUGGGAUUGCAAUAGUAUGAAUUGAUUCUGGAUUUGGACCACUGCACAUCUGCUCCUUUAGAGACAAACCAGGUUUAAGUGAUACAAUUCCAAUUUGCCUAGUUGUAAGAGCAAGCAUUUAUCAACCCAACUGCACGCCUGAGUUUUGGGGGGCAUUCUUAGAGUACUAGCACUGAUGCCACUGAUAGUGUUGAUCACCCAAUCCUAACUUAUCACCAGCCAAAAAAACUAAACAAAACAGACAAUGUCAACAGCAUGUACUGGGGAGCUAUUUAUUAUAAAAAAAGGCUGUACAUUAAUUGAGAAAACAUAUAAUAUAUACAAAUUAAUUGAAGUAACGAAGAGAGUAACGUCACUUUCCACAUCUUUUGUAAUGUUGCGAACAACUCAAAACAAGGCCUUGAAAUGUUUACCACAGUGAUUAACACCCAUACAAUUCCACAUGAGUUGCAGCCUCACAGAUCCCUAACAAAAAUAAAUAAAUA
ensembl:lncRNA